AGGCUUCUCCUACUGUCUCAUUGGAUGCUGCCAAUCGUUGCUGCCCCUCUUCAAUCGUGCUCAUUGCUGCCAAAGACUGUUUACAUUGCGUUUUUCUUCAAAUGGUGGUGCUUUGUGAGCUAAUUUCGAUUGUAUUAUACUAUAAUCCGAACACGUACUUUCAUGUAAAGAGUUCUUUUUGCAUUUUAGUGCCCCUUUAAAUAGACAUGAUCUGCCUUCACCGGAUUAUGUAACAGUUCUUUUUGAAUUUGUGGCAUAAUAAUCAAGUGGCAUGUUGAAAACCUAUAGCCCAGAAUAUGAGCCUGUAGCCCAGAAUGUAGGUGUCAUCCUCCAGGUGCACGCAAUAACUGGAGCCUGAUAUGUUAGGGUUCAACCUGAUUGUUCCCUGAAUUUGCAGUGCAUGCGCUUUUUCUUGCUUUCUGUUUAUUUGCCUGUUAUAGAAUGUCAGACUUCUUUGAUAUUGUUUUACUUGCUUUUCUUUGAAAUCUUAAUCCUUUCUCCAUGAGAGUGUGUUCCACAACCUACGUCCCAUCUCCAUACUCACAAAGUGCAUGAAGGUGCACCUAAUGCUUCCUGAUCCAUGAAUAUGUAAAUACUGUUACGUGACGCCAGUGAUGAUAAGGUGGCCAGCAGAACUUUUUACUCAUAUAAAGUGUUGCGACUCCUUAUCUGAGGUUUUUGUUCAUUGAAGUUAACUAUACUGCAAUGUGACUUAUUGUCUUGACUUCGUUGUACUCUAUAGUAUGAGAAGUACAGGACUGCACAGACAGAUUUGCUCAUAUGUUUUGUAAGUGUCCGUCUGUGGCAUCAUCAUGCCACGCAACUCUUUGUACAGUGAGGGGAGGUAGGUUCCUUGGGAGAAUGAAAAAGGAGAUUGGUGUCAUGCAUCAAAAGCUUUUCUACUUUUAACCAACUGUCAAGUGACCAUGGCAAGACUAAUGGAAAACUUUGCAACCACUUACGUACCACAGCAUGUUACAAUAUCACUGUCAUUGUCCGCGCUAUGUGGCUCUAGCUGCACUCUUCUUUAUAUCAUGCUUUCACAUUGUAAUUCCAGUAUUUUUCUCUUUUUUUUCCUUGUGUUUCAGUUGCAAGUCUUCGCACAGGUGCAUAACAGGACCCUAACCACGGAUCAUGAAGAGAAUGGCGUAGUCCAGGGCACAGAGGGGGACAAUUGCAGCAGAACCCUUUUUCUUAAACAAGGACACUUCUAAUAUGCAUAUUGUUGCCACAACUUCCACCUCUGCACCGUGCUGCGACUGAAGAAUGUCGAGUAGUCCUACUUUUGGACGGAAACUACAUGAGGUAGUAAUAUCCAGAUUUCUAAAACUUUUGUCAGCAGACAUUUGCUGUUUCUGUACAACUUUCAUCGUAUAUUUCUUUUGUCACAAUUAGCACACUCUCGAAGAACAGCUCUCAGCUUCAUCUAUGUGCUCCAUUAUUAUUCCUGUACCCUUAGGAGAAUACAAAAGCACAUAUAUGGUUUUACAGCUCUAUGAAGUACAUGAAAACAUCAGAGAGCAGAAAGUCCUACUCUGUCUCCUAAAUUGCUGGACAUUAAAAAAGAAAAAUACAGAG